UUUUGCAUUUCUAGCCGGGCGAAACUAGAAAAACAAACUUCAAUAGAAAAGAAAAAUUUUAUGCUUGUUAGAAAGCCAGGUAACUACUGAACAAAAUCCGACCAUUUUCAGGCUCCUACUCCCACGUCAUCCAGCCACAAACCUCUCGGAACUUGAUCAUUGUGACACGCACUCGCGUCAGUUUCUGACUACAUUAAAAACGUACCGUGUUUGAAACCUCAGAACUUUUUUAUUGUGAGCUAUUUAACCAAAACUACUAUGGAUUAUCAUAAUACAGAUAAGAACAGUUUUAUUUGUUAGGAUUUAAUAAUGUUCACGUGUAUUUUUUAAGGUUCAAAAUCAAUUCUUAAAGUUCAAAAUGUUUGAACCGUUUUUUAUUGAAUUGUACUUUCCACGGUGAAUAUAGUUAUCUUCCGGGUGCUUCCGGGCAUACCAGGGAGCUCUAACUACAAACAUUUAAGUAGAGAAUACCUGUUCAAUAUGAUUUUUAUCUAAUUUGUUAGUCAAUAAAACCUUCUCCAAAUCAUGAA